AUGAAUCCCAGUUCACCAUUGUUUAUGGAUCGCCCCAAAUUUCUCCUCCUGCUGGGGCAGGAGGAUUGUACAGUGGAGAGCGAGGGUGUGGAGGAAAGCCCCACCCACUGUGCCACCGCUGAGGAAGGACUCAGGGGAUUUAAUAGACUUUUAUUCAGAAUUACUAAGUCUUUUGACAUUGUGGCUGGAAGAUCCCUCGUCUCCGAGUCCCAGACCCUGCCUCGGCCUGUUGACCCAGCGGCUCCACCAUGGCUCCUAGCUCCCUCCUCUCCACUGUGGCCCGGCAGUCCACCAGUUCCACCGGUCUCCCUCUUCCCUUUGCUCCGCAACUUUCUAUAUGCCCCCUGGAGUUGUCAGCCAUUCCUCCACCAUGGCUCCUCCCUCCAUUGGCUCCACCAUAGGCUGUCAUCUUGGCUGUGGUCUGGGUCCUGCCUGAUUCCUCCUGCUCCAAGUCCUUCCUGUCUCUAUUCUGGCUCCUCCAUCUGAUCCACCAUGGUUCCUACUGAUUCCUCAAUGGCUCCUCCCUCUGUCAUCGCCACCCUGGUCAUACGCCAGCCUUCGUGCCUAUCCUUUGCCAUCUCCUGUUACCAUCCCAACUCCACCCCUUUGUCCUCUUCCUAAGUCCCCUACGUCACUCCUUUGUUUUUGUUAUGGCGUGAAGUUGCGCCUGGCUGGAGGGGAGAGUACUGUCAUGAUCAUGGACUUUUAGUUUGUUGUCUUUCCUCUUGUGUUCCUGUUUUGACCAAGCUUUGACUUGUGUCUGAUUAGUUCAUUCUGUUCACCUGUGUCAAGUUUAUUAUCUUAAUUAGGCAAAUAAAGGGGAAGUCGUGGCCUAAUGGUUAGAGAGUCGGACUUGUAACCGAAAAGGUUGCAGCUUCGAGUCUCGUACCAGCAGUUGGGGGGAGUGUAUGUACAGCGCUCUCUCCUACCUUCAAUACCACGAAUGAGGUGCCCUUGAGCAAGGCACCGAACCCCCAACUGCUCCCCGGGUGCCGCAGCAAAAAAUGGCUGCCCACUCCGGGUGUUUGUUCACUGUGUGUGUGUGUGUACACUGCUGUGUGUGUGCACUUUGGAUGGGAUAAAUGCAGAGUACUUAUUCCGAUUAUGGGUCACCAUACUUGGCCAUCACUUUCACUUUGCUCUGGUCCGGACCAAAUACAAUGAUGAUUUUUUUAUUUUAUUUAUUUUUUGGUGUGGUUCACUUUCACACUGACCUUUUUGUAUGUGAACAAGAGAUUGUAACCAAAACCACACAUGUGCUAAGGUCAUCCAUUCAUUGGACAGAAAUUUUCAAGCAUACCGGAGCUUGUUUUGAACUGGACCGAGAGCACCUCUUUAGCUGGGUCUCGGUGCAGUUGUUUGUUCCGCACCCGAGUCUGACUGCUGUAUUCACACCUGGCCAAAAGAUCUGCACCAAGGGGGAAACAAACUUGGGUUCGAUUCGAUCAAAACAAGCAAGACAGGUGUGAAUACACCCAUAGUGUUUGUCGGAUCUUGUCUGUUUUCACGUGUGCUAAGCCUUCCUCUUGUGGAUUUACCUUCUGUGUGGAAUAUUAAAGAUAAUUUUACCUUCAUCAUCCUUGUGAGUGUUUUGAGUCCACCUGAGUGUAACACAAUUAAACAUAAAUACAAAUUUACAAUCACAAUAUCCAAUUUAUACACGUUUAAUUAACAAAUCUUAUAAAUAUUUUUUUUCUAAAUAUUUUGUCAUCAAGAAAAGAGAAAGAUUAAAUAAUGACUACAAAGUUGUGAUCAGGCCUGCAGACAUGCAUUGCAAUUAUUAAACGUGUAUUAUUUAUUUAUAUUUUUCAUAUAUUUAUUUAUUUAUUUUAUUGGAAUAAUUGGAAUAAACAUAAAGACAACAAAUAAUUUUAGCUUUUAGGUUCCUCCACCUGAAAUUUUUGUAAAGAACAAUAUUUGAAGAUGUAUGCAGAAAAUUGGCUGAAAUAAUAAAAUAAAAUAAAAAAGUAAAAUAAAAUAAAAUAAUAAAAAAAAUACUCAAGAACUUUGUUAAUAAAGAAAGAGUGUAUUAUUCAUGUCUGCAUUCUUAAGAAACUGAAAAAGGUGCGCAGGUCCCCUCCUUGAGUCAUUCUCUUGGAGAUGCUGUCACCUAGCAGAAAGGAGAAAAAACAGAACAAAUGGGAGAAGAAAGUUUAUUUAACAAGAAUAGGCAAGGACUUUGAUUGAUGUUUAAACUUGUGCUUUGAGGUGAAAGGAGACAUAUGCCACGUCAAACGUGAAUGUGUUAGUACACAAUACUUUCUAGCAUACAAUUUAUUCAUGGAUUUUGUGACAAUAAAAGAGAAAAAAUUAAUUACCUUACAGAUCAUCUUCUCAAGGGCUUUUUAAACUCAUGCUCACAGAACGUAGACAAGGAAAAAACACUGAUUAUGCAUUCGAGCACAAUCAUGGACUGACACUUUUUUUUUUUCUAAUUGCACAUGAAAAAAAGCAGUUCUGCAAUUGUUUGGAUUUCUAGUUUGUGACAACAGUCAUAAAAAUAGCACAAAUGUACUAUGUUUAGUUUGUCAGAGGACUGACUACCAUGCGUAGAGGUGAGUCAAUUCUCAGCAUGUAGGACAUUUUUUUGGUAUAAUGGCAUGUGCGGUUCCAUAGGAAUAAGGGUGCUCUUUGUUUCACAGAGCACGGCUGCUCUUGAGUGAGCACAGUCAAGCUGCAAACUCAUUAAUGCUGAAUUCGCAAGUCCUUCUGGCACUGACUGAUUACUUAUUCAACCUCUCCUGAGUCACUUUUGGAGGGAACAUUUUUACCCUGAAAUUUCUUCAAAGGCAAGAGUUAUGAAACCCAAACUAUCUAUUCAUAUACAGGUGGCCAAUGUAUUAUUGCAGAUUUUAGUUAUUCUGGUUGGAGAGCACUGCAAACCAUGUGGAAGUGAUCUGGCUUAACAGGUGUGCUUUGCUAGAAAACAGCAACAUUCCUUUGAUGCAGGUUUUGAAUGUAAAUAUUUUACACUAGAACAACAAAAACAAAAAAUAUUUUGGCUUGUUUUCAUUCUCUCUCUCUCUCUCUCUCUCUCUCUCUCUAUCUCUCUCUCUCUCUCUAUAUAUAUAUAUAUAUAUUAAAUGGCAUUUUCAAAAAAAAUGUUUUCUUGUUAUAAGCAUAAACCUAAAUUUUCUGUUAGGUAUGCUUUAAAGAGGAAAUGGCAAAAUGUAUU
ensembl:lncRNA